UACGGAGGAUCCAAGCGUUAUCCGGAUUUAUUGGGUUUAAAGGGUGCGUAGGCGGCUUAUUAAGUCAGGGGUGAAAGACGGUGGCUCAACCAUCGCAGUGCCCUUGAUACUGAUGAGCUUGAAUACACUUGAGGUAGGCGGAAUGUGACAAGUAGCGGUGAAAUUCUUAGAUAUGACACAGAACACCAAUUGCGAAGGCAGCUCGCUAAACUGUAACUGACGCUGAGGCACGAAAGCGUGGGGAUCAAACAGG
rnacentral:rRNA from 1 species